UGUAGCAGCCAUGUCACCCUGCAACUUACAAUGGGCAACCCACACUGAUGCUAAGCAGGUGUGAGCCUGAUCAGUACCAGGAUGGGAGACCUCCUGGGAAAAACUAAGGUUGCUGCUGGAA
rnacentral:rRNA from 1 species